UACGUAGGGGGCAAGCGUUGUCCGGAAUUAUUGGGCGUAAAGAGCUCGUAGGCGGUCUGUUGCGUCGGCUGUGAAAACCCGGGGCUCAACUCCGGGCCUGCAGCCGAUACGGGCAGACUAGAGUUCGGCAGGGGAGACUGGAAUUCCUGGUGUAGCGGUGAAAUGCGCAGAUAUCAGGAGGAACACCGGUGGCGAAGGCGGGUCUCUGGGCCGAAUACUGACGCUGAGGAGCGAAAGCGUGGGGAGCGAACAGG
rnacentral:rRNA from 1 species